GAGGCUGCACAGCGACAUGCAACAGUCUUUUCACUGCAGCUGAAUGAGUUGUGGCGUCCACAAUGCUCCCAUGACAAGGAGCUGACAAGUUCCAUUUUCCGUCGCGGGCAUCUUGGAAUCAUGACUCCCACAAUGCCUUGGGCACUCGGUCGACAGUGGGGCCGCUUCUGAAAAAAAAAUGUGAGAGGUUGGUACUAAGAAGUGCCUUUCCUGACGUCUCUGCUGCUUGGAACCGCUUCUAGAGCAGUCUCUGCUUUUGCCUUGCUUGCUGCCAGCUAGACUGUGACGACAGCACAUCCACCCUCCACCUCUAGCCCAGACACCCCCAUUUCUACUUAUAAUCAAGAGAAAAGCUCUAAGUAUCUGGCAUUGCCCUAGGCUGCUUUAGUGUUAAAAGAAAAGUUUGCUGAAAAAGUAAGAUAUCUUCUGCCAGGAAAUCAAGGAGGAAAAAAAAAUCAUUUUCUCGAUUUUGCUCUAAACUGCUGCAUCUGUCUAUGCCAAACUAAUCAAUACCGAUUGCACCACCAAACUCCAUUGCAAAUUCAGCUGUGAGGAGAUUCCCUUUCAGACAACUUUGCUGAAAGCAGCUUGGAAAUUCGGUGUCAAAGGGUCUGCCACGUUUUCAUGCUUGCAUUUUGGGCUCCAAAUUGGCACUGGGAAGGGGUUACUGAGAGCACAAGGCUGAUACCAGGCCCUACUUUUAAACGUUCAUCUACUUACAAUCCUAGUAUUUCUCUAAAAACCAAAACCUCUUUGAAUUAACAGUUUCAUGCUGUGAAUUUCUAGUGGGAGAUCUUUUCCUUGAUAUUGACGACACAAUUUUCCAUGUACUUUUAAAGCAGGGAGUGGGGAAAAAGUAUUUUGAGGGGACAUUUUCAUCAUCAGUUCAGCUUUUUUUUUUUUUUUUUUUGGUUGUUGCUCUUUUUUGGGGGGGGUUGGGUUUGCUGGUUUCACUGAAACAUUUAACUACCUGUAAAAUCUAAACAUGGCUGUUAGUGUCACACCAAUUCGGGACACAAAAUGGCUUACACUGGAAGUAUGUAGAGAGUUCCAGAGGGGGACUUGCUCACGGCCAGACACGGAAUGUAAAUUUGCACAUCCUUCGAAAAGCUGCCAAGUUGAAAAUGGACGAGUAAUCGCCUGCUUUGAUUCAUUGAAAACAGUUGAUGGUGCACUCGUAGCUGCAAAAUGAAGGACAUUAAAUUUGGCUGUGACAUUGAGUGGUUUCACAGAAGACCUGCUUCUACAACAUUUGGAAACAUUGUGAAAUAUUAAUAUUCAGUUGCUAUUUUUCCAUCUCAAAAUAUUUUUUUAGUUGCUGCUCACUUAUGGCCACAGAAGAGUCCCUUUUUGAGUAAAGCAGCAAGGUUGCUUAAUGACAUGCUAUGUGGUUAACAAGAUUCAACUGCCACAUCAAGGACUUUAAAUAAUUUCAAGAUUUUAAAUGUAUUUAUGAAAUGAACUCAUUACAGCAGCUAAUCAAUGCAAACUUUGUCCUUUUUCUUUGUCUUUCUAAGAGAAACUGAAUUUAAUUUAAAUUUAAAUUACAGUGUCUAAAACUUGGUAAAAUAUUUUAAAUUUGAAUAAGAGGAAAAAAAUAAACAUGAAUUUAUUUAUGAUGGAGCUUCAUACCCAGGACAGUAGCUUCUUAAAUGUUAGUAAAAUAACUAUGUUAAGCAUUAAAACAAU
rnacentral:sRNA from 1 species